AGUGAACGCUGGCGGUAGGCCUAACACAUGCAAGUCGAACGGCAGCACAGGAGAGCUUGCUCUCUGGGUGGCGGGUGGCGGACGGGUGAGGAAUACAUCGGAAUCUACUCUGUCGUGGGGGAUAACGUAGGGAAACUUACGCUAAUACCGCAUACGACCUACGGGUGAAAGCAGGGGACCUUCGGGCCUUGCGCGAUUGAAUGAGCCGAUGUCGGAUUAGCUAGUUGGCGGGGUAAAGGGCCACCAAGGCGACGAUCCGUAGCUGGUCUGAGAGGAUGAUCAGCCAGACUGGAACUGAGACACGGUCCAGACUCCUACGGGAGGCAGCAGUGGGGAAUAUUGGACAAUGGGCGCAAGCCUGAUCCAGCCAUACCGCGUGGGUGAAGAAGGCCUUCGGGUUGUAAAGCCCUUUUGUUGGGAAAGAAAUCCAGCUGGCUAAUACCCGGUUGGGAUGACGGUACCCAAAGAAUAAGCACCGGCUAACUUCGUGCCAGCCGCCGCAGUAA
rnacentral:rRNA from 1 species